rnacentral:rRNA from 1 species
GACGAACGCUGGCGGCGUGCUUAACACAUGCAAGUCGAACGGUGAAGGGUGUGUCUUUUGUGGGCCCUGGAUGAGUGUCGUACGGGUGAGUAACAUGUGAGUAACCUGCUCCCUGCUUCUGUAUAUCCGCAUGAAAGUGUGGCUAAUACGGGAUAGUGUGGUGCUGUCGCAUGAUGGGUCUGGGAAAUGUGUUUGUUUGUGGUGUUGUGUGGUUGGGAUGGGCUCGCGGCCGAUGAGCUUGUUGGUGGGGUGAUGGCCUACCAAGGCGGUGACGGGUAGCCGGCCUGAGAGGGUGGACGGUCACACUGGGACUGAGACACGGCCCAGACUCCUACGAGAGGCAGCAGAGAGGAAUAUUGCACAAUGGGCGCAAGCCUGAUGCAGCGACGCCGCAUGAGGGAUAGUGGCCUUCGGGUUGUAAACCUCUUUCGCCAGUGAAAAAAGCCUGCUCCUUGUGGGUGGGUUGACGGUAGCUGGAUAAGAAGCGCCGGCUAACUACGUG